ACAACACGAGCUUUCAUUGUUCGAGCCGCGGUGCUCGCAGCUCGAUAAUCAUCGUCCUUGCGAAAGUGAAUUUUUUUCAACGGUGUACCUUAACGUUGGCAAAUUGCCAACAAAUUGUGAUUCUAUAGAAUUCUCGUUAAAAAAUCAUUUAGUGUGUUCCGAAUUUAAUUUAGGUUAUGUUGAUGAAAACUGCGGAUAUUGAAAGCGUAACAUUUCAGAUUUAAUUAUACUGCUUUGAAGAACUGCUAGUGACUUUAUACGUCAUAACUGAAAAUGUGAACUAUUUGUUAAUUUCAAGAUUGAGAAAAAUAUAUUACGAACAUCUUCUGACAUCAUCAUAGAGAACUAAGAAUUUCUCGUUGAAAAGUCGUUAAGUGAGAUACGGUUAUUAGAAAGUCAGGUUUGAAGGUUAGGUUAGGUUGCUGAAAACAAGCAACUGCGGAUAUUAAAAGCAUGCAGCUCUGAAGAACAGCUGGUGACUUAACGUAACAGAAGUGAAGCUGUGAAUCAUUUGUUAUUUUCAAGAUUGACGAAAAUAUAUUAGGGACAUGAGUUUCUAACACCUUCAUAAAGAACUAACAAUUUCAGAUACCAAACACGAAAAUAUAAGUUGUUUGUUAUUUUCAAAAUCUAAAAAUACAUGUUUAUAGUAUAAAUUAAUUUAGAAUAUGUUUGCAAAUAGCAACUAAUAACUUUAAUUACCAAAAGUGAGA